rnacentral:rRNA from 1 species
GAGCACGUAGGUGGGUUUGUAAGUCAGAUGUGAAAGCCUUCUGUUCAACGGGAGAAUUGCAUCUGAAACUGCAGACCUUGAGUGUAGGAGGGGAGAAUGGAACUUCUGGUGGAGCGGUGAAAUGCGUAGAUAUCAGAAGGAACGCCGGCGGCGAAAGCGAUUCUCUGGCCUAUUACUGACACUCAGUGUGCGAAAGCUAGGGGAGCAAACGGGAUUAGAUACCCCGGUAGUCCUAGCCGUAAACGAUGGGCACUAAGUAGAGGGGUUUU